AACGCUGGCGGCGUGCCUAAUACAUGCAAGUCGAGCGGUCCCUUCGGGGAUAGCGGCGGACGGGUGAGUAACACGUAGGCAACCUGCCUGUAAGAUUGGGAUAACUAUCGGAAACGAUAGCUAAGACCAGAUAACUGGUUCUCUCGCAUGAGGGAAUCAUGAAACACGGGGUAACCUGUGGCUUACAGAUGGGCCUGCGGCGCAUUAGCUAGUUGGUAGGGUAACGGCCUACCAAGGCGACGAUGCGUAGCCGACCUGAGAGGGUGAUCGGCCACACUGGGACUGAGACACGGCCCAGACUCCUACGGGAGGCAGCAGUAGGGAAUCUUCCGCAAUGGACGCAAGUCUGACGGAGCAACGCCGCGUGAGUGAUGAAGGUUUUCGGAUCGUAAAGCUCUGUUGCCAGGGAAGAACGCCUAGGAGAGUAACUGCUCUUAGGGUGACGGUACCUGAGAAGAAAGCCCCGGCUAACUACGUGCCAGCAGCCGCGGUAAUACGUAGGGGGCAAGCGUUGUCCGGAAUUAUUGGGCGUAAAGCGCGCGCAGGCGGUCAUUUAAGUUUGGUGUUUAAGCCCGGGGCUCAACCCCGGAUCGCACUGAAAACUGGGUGACUUGAGUGCGGGAGAGGAAAGUGGAAUUCCACGUGUAGCGGUGAAAUGCGUAGAGAUGUGGAGGAACACCAGUGG
rnacentral:rRNA from 1 species